UACGUAGGGUGCGAGCGUUAAUCGGAAUUACUGGGCGUAAAGCGUGCGCAGGCGGUUCGUUGUGUCGGCGGUGAAAGCCCCGGGCUCAACCUGGGAAUGGCCGUUGAAACUGGCGAACUGGAGUGUGGCAGAGGGGGGUGGAAUUCCGCGUGUAGCAGUGAAAUGCGUAGAGAUGCGGAGGAACACCGAUGGCGAAGGUAGCCCCCUGGGCUGACACUGACGCUCAGGCACGAAAGCUAGGGGAGCAAACAGG
rnacentral:rRNA from 1 species